rnacentral:lncRNA from 10 species
CUUGGAUUGAAUCCCUAGGGGAGAUUUUAGGAAAGCAGGCGACCUGCCUCUGAAGAGUGUGGCCUCUGGAGCCAGGCUGACCACCUGAGUUCUCAGCCCAGCUGUUCUACUUGCUGGUGUUGUGGCCCCAGGUUGUGCAUCUUUGUCAGGAACCUCCCAGAAGUGAUGCCGGCUCUUCUCAGUGCAUCUGCUCUCGUAGACCUGGCUCCGUGUGUCCC